rnacentral:RNase_P_RNA from 1 species
AGACAAAUGCUGCAUAAAUUUAUUAUGUAGAGGAAAGUCCAUGCUCGCACAAUCUGCGAUGAUUGUAGUGUUCGUGCUUAGGGAAAAAAUAACCUAAGAUAGUUUUAUACUAAUGGCUUCGAAAUAACCUUAAAUGGUUAAAUUAGAUAUAAAAGUGCCAAAGAGACGAGUAUCAAGGGAAACUUUGAUAGUGGAACGAGGUAAACCCCACGAGCGAGAAACCCAAAUUAUGGUAGGGGAGCUUCUACAAAGGAAUUGAACAGAGUAGGGGACCAGUAAUGGUAGAUAAAUAUUUGUCCCUUCUUUGGAAGGACAGAACAUGGCUUAUG